ensembl:snRNA U1 U1 spliceosomal RNA
CUACUUACCUGGCAGGGGAGAUACCAUGAUCAUGAAGGUGAUUUUCCCAGGGCAAGGCUUAUCCAUUGCACCCCAGAUGUGCUGACCCCUGCGAUUUCCCCAAAUGUGGGAAACUCGACUGCAUAAUUUGUGGUAGUGGGGGACUGCAUUCGCGCUUUCCCCUG